GUUGACCUCGGAUCAGGUAGGAAUACCCGCUGAACUUAAGCAUAUCAAGAA
rnacentral:rRNA from 1 species